rnacentral:rRNA from 1 species
GUCUUUUUGUUUAUAAUUUAAAGUCUAACCUGCUCAAUGAUUAUUAAAUAGCCGCAGUAUUUUGACUGUGCAAAGGUAGCAUAAUCAAUAGUUUUUUAAAUGGAAACUGGAAUGAAUGGUUGAAUGAGAAAUAAGCUGUCUCAAUUUAAAUUUUAUAAUUUUAUUUUUAAGUAAAAAAGCUUAAAUUUUUUUUAAAGACGAGAAGACCCUAUAGAGUUUAAUUUUAUUUUAAUUUAUUAUUUUAAAGUAAUUAAUUUAAUUAUUUAAAAUAAAAUUUGAUUGGGGUGAUUAAAAAAUUUAAUAAACUUUUUUUUUAUAAUACAAUAAUUAUUGAUUUAUUGAUCCAUAAAAAUGAUAAAAGAAUAAAUUACCUUAGGGAUAACAGCGUAAUUAUUCUAGAGAGUUCAUAUUGAAAGAAUAGAUUGCGACCUCGAUGUUGGAUUAAAAUUAAUAAUUGGUGUAGAAGCUAAUUUAUUAAGUCUGUUCGACUUUUAAAAUUUUACA